GCCCCGCCUUCACGCGAAGUGCAAAUUCGUAGGACACCCUAAAGGGUGCCGGGGCUUCUCCCGUUUGAAGCGAGACGGGAGAAGA
rnacentral:tRNA from 1 species